UCGAGAAUCAUUCACAAUGGGGGAAACCCUGAUGGUGCGACGCCACGUGGGGGAAUGAAGGUCUUCGGAUUGUAAACCCCUGUCAUGUGGGAGCAAAUUAAAAAGAUAGUACCACAAGAGGAAGAGACGGCUAACUCUGUGCCAGCAGCCGCGGUAAUACAGAGGUCUCAAGCGUUGUUCGGAAUCACUGGGCGUAAAGCGUGCGUAGGCGGUUUCGUAAGUCGUGUGUGAAAGGCGGGGGCUCAACCCCCGGACUGCACAUGAUACUGCGAGACUAGAGUAAUGGAGGGGGAACCGGAAUUCUCGGUGUAGCAGUGAAAUGCGUAGAUAUCGAGAGGAACACUCGUGGCGAAGGCGGGUUCCUGGACAUUAACUGACGCUGAGGCACGAAGGCCAGGGGAGCGAAAGGG
rnacentral:rRNA from 1 species